rnacentral:rRNA from 1 species
CCUACGGGCGGCACCAGUGGGGAAUAUUGGACAAUGGGCGAAAGCCUGAUCCAGCAAUGCCGCGUGUGUGAAGAAGGUCUUCGGAUUGUAAAGCACUUUCGACGGGGACGAUGAUGACGGUACCCGUAGAAGAAGCCCCGGCUAACUUCGUGCCAGCAGCCGCGGUAAUACGAAGGGGGCUAGCGUUGCUCGGAAUGACUGGGCGUAAAGGGUGCGUAGGCGGUUUAUGCAGUCAGAUGUGAAAUCCCCGGGCUUAACCUGGGAACUGCAUUUGAGACGCAUAGACUAGAGGUCGAGAGAGGGUUGUGGAAUUCCCAGUGUAGAGGUGGAAUUCGUAGAUAUUGGGAAGAACGCCGGUGGCGAAGGCGGCUACCUGGCUCGAUACUGACGCUGAGGCGCGAAAGCGUGGGGAGCAAACAGGAUUAGAUACCCGCGUAGUC